AGUGAACGCUGGCGGUAGGCCUAACACAUGCAAGUCGAACGGCAGCACAGUAAGAGCUUGCUCUUGCGGGUGGCGAGUGGCGGACGGGUGAGGAAUACAUCGGAAUCUACUUUUUCGUGGGGGAUAACGUAGGGAAACUUACGCUAAUACCGCAUACGACCUACGGGUGAAAGCAGGGGAUCUUCGGACCUUGCGCGAUUGAAUGAGCCGAUGUCGGAUUAGCUAGUUGGCGGGGUAAAGGCCCACCAAGGCGACGAUCCGUAGCUGGUCUGAGAGGAUGAUCAGCCACACUGGAACUGAGACACGGUCCAGACUCCUACGGGAGGCAGCAGUGGGGAAUAUUGGACAAUGGGCGCAAGCCUGAUCCAGCCAUACCGCGUGGGUGAAGAAGGCCUUCGGGUUGUAAAGCCCUUUGUUGGGAAAGAAAAGCAGCAGGUUAAUACCCCGCUGUUCUGACGGUACCCAAAGAAUAAGCACCGGCUAACUUCGU
rnacentral:rRNA from 1 species